GACGAACGCUGGCGGCGUGCUUAACACAUGCAAGUCGAACGGAAAGGCCCUGCUUUUGUGGGGUGCUCGAGUGGCGAACGGGUGAGUAACACGUGAGUAACCUGCCCUUGACUUUGGGAUAACUUCAGGAAACUGGGGCUAAUACCGGAUAGGAGCUCCUGCUGCAUGGUGGGGGUUGGAAAGUUUCGGCGGUUGGGGAUGGACUCGCGGCUUAUCAGCUUGUUGGUGGGGUAGUGGCUUACCAAGGCUUUGACGGGUAGCCGGCCUGAGAGGGGGACCGGCCACAUUGGGACUGAGAUACGGCCCAGACGCCUACGGGAGGCAGAAGUGGAGAAUAUUGCACAAUGGGCGGAAGCCUGAUGCAGCAACGCCGCGUGCGGGAUGACGGCCUUCGGGUUGUAAACCGCUUUCGCCUGUGACGAAGCGUGAGUGACGGUAAUGGGUAAAGAAGCACCGGCUAACUACGUG
rnacentral:rRNA from 1 species